rnacentral:tRNA from 1 species
GCGCCUGUGGUGAAAUGGAUAUCACGGAAGCCUCCGGAGCUUUAAUUGCAGGUUCAAUUCCUGCCAGGCGCA